UACGUAGGGGGCGAGCGUUGUCCGGAUUCAUUGGGCGUAAAGAGCUCGUAGGCGGUUCGGUUAGUCAGAUGUGAAAACUCCGGGCUCAACUCGGAGAGGCCAUCUGAUACUGCCGUGACUGGAGUUCGGUAGAGGAGUGUGGAAUUCCCGGUGUAGCGGUGAAAUGCGCAGAUAUCAGGAGGAACACCGGUGGCGAAGGCGGGUCUCUGGGCCGAUACUGACGCUGAGGAGCGAAAGCGUGGGGAGCGAACAGG
rnacentral:rRNA from 1 species